rnacentral:rRNA from 1 species
AGAGUUUGAUCAUGGCUCAGAUUGAACGCUGGCGGCAGGCCUAACACAUGCAAGUCGAGCGGUAGCACAGAGAGCUUGCUCUCGGGUGACGAGCGGCGGACGGGUGAGUAAUGUCUGGGAAACUGCCUGAUGGAGGGGGAUAACUACUGGAAACGGUAGCUAAUACCGCAUAAUGUCGCAAGACCAAAGUGGGGGACCUUCGGGCCUCAUGCCAUCAGAUGUGCCCAGAUGGGAUUAGCUUGUAGGUGGGGUAACGGCUCACCUAGGCGACGAUCCCUAGCUGGUCUGAGAGGAUGACCAGCCACACUGGAACUGAGACACGGUCCAGACUCCUACGGGAGGCAGCAGUGGGGAAUAUUGCACAAUGGGCGCAAGCCUGAUGCAGCCAUGCCGCGUGUGUGAAGAAGGCCUUCGGGUUGUAAAGCACUUUCAGCGGGGAGGAAGGCGUUGAGGUUAAUAACCUUAUCGAUUGACGUUACCCGCAGAAGAAGCACCGGCUAACUCCGUGCCAGCAGCCGCGGUAAUACGGAGGGUGCAAGCGUUAAUCGGAAUUACUGGGCGUAAAGCGCACGCAGGCGGUCUGUCAAGUCGGAUGUGAAAUCCCCGGGCUCAACCUGGGAACUGCAUUCGAAACUGGCAGGCUAGAGUCUUGUAGAGGGGGGUAGAAUUCCAGGUGUAGCGGUGAAAUGCGUAGAGAUCUGGAGGAAUACCGGUGGCGAAGGCGGCCCCCUGGACAAAGACUGACGCUCAGGUGCGAAAGCGUGGGGAGCAAACAGGAUUAGAUACCCUGGUAGUCCACGCCGUAAACGAUGUCGAUUUGGAGGUUGUGCCCUUGAGGCGUGGCUUCCGGAGCUAACGCGUUAAAUCGACCGCCUGGGGAGUACGGCCGCAAGGUUAAAACUCAAAUGAAUUGACGGGGGCCCGCACAAGCGGUGGAGCAUGUGGUUUAAUUCGAUGCAACGCGAAGAACCUUACCUGGUCUUGACAUCCACAGAACUUAGCAGAGAUGCUUUGGUGCCUUCGGGAACUGUGAGACAGGUGCUGCAUGGCUGUCGUCAGCUCGUGUUGUGAAAUGUUGGGUUAAGUCCCGCAACGAGCGCAACCCUUAUCCUUUGUUGCCAGCGGUCCGGCCGGGAACUCAAAGGAGACUGCCAGUGAUAAACUGGAGGAAGGUGGGGAUGACGUCAAGUCAUCAUGGCCCUUACGACCAGGGCUACACACGUGCUACAAUGGCAUAUACAAAGAGAAGCGACCUCGCGAGAGCAAGCGGACCUCAUAAAGUAUGUCGUAGUCCGGAUUGGAGUCUGCAACUCGACUCCAUGAAGUCGGAAUCGCUAGUAAUCGUAGAUCAGAAUGCUACGGUGAAUACGUUCCCGGGCCUUGUACACACCGCCCGUCACACCAUGGGAGUGGGUUGCAAAAGAAGUAGGUAGCUUAACCUUCGGGAGGGCGCUUACCACUUUGUGAUUCAUGACUGGGGUGAAGUCGUAACAAGGUAACCGUAGGGGAACCUGCGGUUGGAUCACCU